rnacentral:rRNA from 1 species
UACGGAGGGUGCAAACGUUGCUCGGAAUCAUUGGGCGUAAAGCGCACGUAGGCGGUCCAGUAAGUCGGGUGUGAAAGCCCUCGGCUCAACCGAGGAAGUGCAUUCGAAACUACUGAACUUGAGUAUGGAAGAGGGUCGCGGAAUUCCCGGUGUAGAGGUGAAAUGCGCAGAUAUCAGGAGGAACACCGGUGGCGAAGGCGGCACUCUGGGACGGUACUGACGCUGAGACGCGAAAGCGUGGGGAGCAAACAGG